rnacentral:tRNA from 1 species
UCUUAGGAACCAAAAAAUUGGUGCAACUCCAAAUAAAA